GUAGGGUUGUUGCUAGUAUAAAUAUCCCCUAAGACUCAUUGUAAUCAAAAACUUUGAUAAUUGAAAUACAGAACCCCUUUGUUCAGCUGUGUGCUAACAAAUUCAGAGAGUGAUCUCUACCCCUUUGCUCUUGUGAUUUCCUCGCGGGCAAUUGGUGCUCCUACUCCCUUCAAGGUAUUUCUUGAUUGAUUGUAGACUGUGUUGGUUGGUUCCUUGAGAGUGUGGUUGGACGAAUCCUCGAUUCAGGUUGCCGACAAAGACGGUGGUUGGCUUCGAGUUUUAUUUGCCAGGUUGCACUAGUUAUCGCUACUUGCAGCAAGUUAUCCGGCUAUUCUUCAGCUAGUUAUCGGUGUUCAUCCUACGUCGUGAAGAUCGGGACAACAUGUCGCAUCAUCUAGUAUCAAAGCUUUUGUUACCACGGUAGGAAUUUUAUCCCUAGCUACAUAUAUAUUUUGCUUCGUCCUAUCCACCAAAAAGCUAGAAAAUAUAUUGCUUAGACCUUUGUUUCAAUCUGUUAUUUUAGUGAGUUCAGUUAAGUCGCAGUCCAUUAGAGUCUUUGUUUUAGUUGCUGAUCAUUUAUCCUUCGCGUGUUCUUUGUGCCUCUUUUAUAUCUAAAAAUCCCCACAAAAAAUCUCUAUAGCCUAUAUCAUCCUUUGUGUUAUCUUUGAUCCUAUCAAGUUAUAGUUUCUGGUUGUGCUUUGUUUCUAUCAUCAAGUUUGCAAGUAUCAUAAUCUGAUCCCUGUUUUUAGUUCUAUAUAUAAGAAAAAAAAGUGUGUCAAAAAAAAGAAAAGAAAGGUCAAAAAAAAAUAAAGUGAAAAAAAGUUGAGAAAGGUUCAGAGAGAAAGUCUGAAAUAUUAGUUGGUUUAUGUGCACAAGUGCUAAAAGUUUCAUAUCAAGUUCUGCAACCA
rnacentral:lncRNA from 1 species